UACGUAGGGUGCGAGCGUUAAUCGGAAUUACUGGGCGUAAAGAGCUCGUAGGCGGCUUGUUGCGUCAGCUGUGAAAACCCGCAGCUCAACUGUGGGCUUGCAGCUGAUACGGGCAGGCUUGAGUUCGGUAGGGGAGACUGGAAUUCCGGGUGUAGCGGUGGAAUGCGUAGAGAUCCGGAAGAACACCGGUGGCGAAGGCGGCCUGCUGGGCAGUGGCUGACGCUGAGGCGCGACAGCGUGGGGAGCAAACAGG
rnacentral:rRNA from 1 species